UACGGAGGGUGCAAACGUUGCUCGGAAUCAUUGGGCGUAAAGCGCACGUAGGUGGCCUGUUAAGUCGGGUGUGAAAUCCCUGGGCUCAACCCAGGAAGUGCACUCGAAACUGGCAGGCUUGAGUACUGAAGAGGGUCCCGGAAUUCCCGGUGUAGAGGUGAAAUUCGUAGAUAUCGGGAGGAACACCAGUGGCGAAGGCGGCGACCUGGGCAGAUACUGACACUGAGGUGCGAAAGCGUGGGGAGCAAACAGG
rnacentral:rRNA from 1 species